UAGUUUUGAAAAUCAAAAUUUCUAUAUACUUUGAAAUUUCACCGUUUUAAAUCUAAAAUUCCUUUUUGUGAUCCGUCAAAGAGGGGUGCUAGAUAUAUGUGUUUAGUAGUUAACCCAAGUGGUAGAACUCAAAAAUCACGUUUCUAAAAGUCGCGGUGUUGAUUUAUGUGAAAACAGUCCCGUUUCUAGGAACUGUUUUGGAUCAGUCCGUAGCAGGGGCAUUUUCGUCCCCUUUUUGUGCUUUAUAAAUUCUGGAAAACAUUUGGGGUGUUAAUAUCAGUAGAUAUUCAGGUUGUGUAAAAAAUUGAGAAAUUUUGGCCAUACGGUUUGAGAGAUAUGGAUUUUACGGUGAAG
rnacentral:lncRNA from 1 species